rnacentral:rRNA from 1 species
UACGUAGGUGACAAGCGUUGUCCGGAUUUACUGGGCGUAAAGAGCGCGCAGGCGGUCGUUCAAGUCGAGUGUGAAAGCCCCCGGCUCAACUGGGGAGGGUCAUUCGAUACUGAUCGACUCGAAGGCAGGAGAGGGUAGUGGAAUUCCCGGUGUAGUGGUGAAAUGCGUAGAUAUCGGGAGGAACACCAGUGGCGAAGGCGACUACCUGGCCCGGUACUGACGCUGAGGCACGAAAGCGUGGGAGCGAACAGG